rnacentral:rRNA from 1 species
GCACCGGCUAACUACGUGCCAGCAGCCGCGGUAAUACGUAGGGUGCAAGCGUUAAUCGGAAUUACUGGGCGUAAAGCGUGCGCAGGCGGUUCUGUAAGACAGAUGUGAAAUCCCCGGGCUCAACCUGGGAAUUGCAUUUGUGACUGCAGGACUAGAGUUCAUCAGAGGGGGGUGGAAUUCCAAGUGUAGCAGUGAAAUGCGUAGAUAUUUGGAAGAACACCAAUGGCGAAGGCAGCCCCCUGGGAUGCGACUGACGCUCAUGCACGAAAGCGUGGGGAGCAAACAGGAUUAGAUACCCUGGUAGUCCACGCCCUAAACGAUGUCUACUGGUUGUUGGGGAUUUAUAUCCUUGGUAACGAAGCUAACGCGUGAAGUAGACCGCCUGGGGAGUACGGUCGCA